CAGCAUGAUGAAGACAUUUUCUGAUGAGAUCCUUUAAUCUUUCCCAUGAUUCAUGGAACUACUCAUUAUCGUGCUAUGAAAAGCUAGUAAGAGCUCACCUUAUCUG
rfam:Cephalotus follicularis DNA, scaffold: scaffold689, isolate: St1.